rnacentral:rRNA from 1 species
AGCGAAAUGCGAUACGUAGUGUGAAUUGCAGAAUUCCGUGAACCAUCGAAUCUUUGAACGCAAAUUGCGCUCGAGGCCUCGGCCAAGAGCAUGUCUGCCUCAGCGUCGGCU